CCAAUACUCACUUUGGAUCAUCAGGUAGUUUCUGUUCCGUUAGUAGCUGUCAUGGCCUCUCCCACCAUCACGGUACCUUAGUUCCACAUAGCCAGAAGCCUCUAUGAGGACAUGGAAGAAGGAAGCUCGGCUCUCUGCCUGAUUGCUCUUGCCUCACCAGCAAGUCUAUUCCUUCACUGGCAUUAGAGCCUACUUCUUUGGGAUUCCAGGGUAUACUGAAGACCAGCUGAGACUUCCAGCCUCAUGGACUGAACAACUAUUGAAUUCUAGGACCUUCUAUUCAUAGGCAGCCAUUGUUGGAUUAGCUGAACCUCAGCCUUUCGGGAUACAGCCCACCAUGGCAGAGAAUCAGGGCAGCAGGAACUUGAAGCAGCUGAUCAUGUUGCACCACAGUCAGGAAGCAGAGAGCAAUGCAUGGUGGUGCUCAGCCCACUUUCUCCUUUUCAUAUGAUCCAGGAUCCCAACCCAGGGAAUGGAGCCACCCACAAUCCUGCUCAGAAAGUAAGGUGGAGAGUGACAGAAGAAGAUACCCAAAGCAGAGCUCUGGAUUGUAUAUGCGCAUGUGCAGGCAAGUGCACCCCUCUACACACUGACCUCCCUCCAUCCACAAGAACCUACCUGUUAUCACCAUAGCCUUGGGGAUAAGGAUCUCAACACGUGUGUUUGGGAGGGAUCAGAUGCCACCUUAGCACUUCCAUUCUGGAACUCAUGGUCUUCUGAAAAUGGGGAAGUGACACUCUAGGUCUUCUCAUUUCUCAUGGGCUGUGUGAGUCAUAAGUUCCUCUCUUGGAUGCAGGUUCUUAGAGUUUUCUCUUCCCAUCCUGCUUCCUUUACAAACUGGGGACAACAGGGAACCAGAUGGGCAAUGGCCCAGCCCAGUGGUGAGAGCUUCUCACCACUGAGUUGCUGCAAUUUCUGCUAAUUAAGAGAGAGAGUUUUGGGCAAAGAUGGGGGUAAAGAUUAGUUGCCACUUGAAAAUGCAGA